rnacentral:rRNA from 1 species
UAAGACGGAGGGUGCUAGCGUUGUUCGGAAUGACUGGGCGUAAAGGGCGCGUAGGCGGCCGCUUGCGUCGGAUGUGAAAGCCCGGGGCUCAACCCCGGAACGGCAUCCGAUACGGGGCGGCUCGAGACCGAGAGAGGUGAGUGGAAUACCCAGUGUAGAGGUGAAAUUCGUAGAUAUUGGGUGGAACACCGGUGGCGAAAGCGGCUCACUGGCUCGGUUCUGACGCUGAGGCGCGAAAGCGUGGGGAGCAAACAGGAUUAGAUACCCUGGUAGUCCACGCCCUAAACGAUGUGGGCUGGGCGUCGGGGGGCUUGCCCCUCGGUGCCGGAGCUAACGCGGUAAGCCCACCGCCUGGGGAGUACGGCCGCAAGGUUA